rnacentral:rRNA from 1 species
UACAGAGGUCCCAAGCGUUACUGAGAAUCACUGGGUUUAAAGGGUGCGUAGGUGGUCCGUUAAGUCAGUUGUGAAAUCCCCGGGCUCAACCCGGGAAAUGCUUCUGAUACUGGCGGACUUGAGGCCAGUAGGGGUCACUAGAACUGACGGUGGAGCGGUGAAAUGCGCAGAUAUCGGGAAGAACACCCAUGGCGAAGGCAGCUCUCUGGGACGGUACUGACGCUGAGACGCGAAAGCGUGGGGAGCGAACAGG